rnacentral:rRNA from 1 species
AAUCAACGCUGGCGGCGUGCCUAACACAUGCAAGUCGCACGAGAAAGGGACUUCGGUCCUGAGUACAGUGGCGCACGGGUGAGUAACACGUGAAUAAUCUACCUUCGAGUGGGGAAUAACUGAGAGAAAUCUUAGCUAAUACCGCAUAAUACCCACGGGUCAAAGCAGCAAUGCGCUUGAAGAGGAGUUCGCGGCAGAUUAGUUAGUUGGCAGGGUAAUGGCCACCAAGACGAUGAUCUGUAUCCGGCCUGAGAGGGCGCACGGACACACUGGAACUGAAACACGGUCCAGACUCCUACGGGA